GCUAAUAGAUGAGCCUAAGUCAGAUUAGCUAGUUGGUGGGGUAAAGGCCUACCAAGGCGACGAUCUGUAGCGGGUCUGAGAGGAUGAUCCGCCACACUGGGACUGAGACACGGCCCAGACUCCUACGGGAGGCAGCAGUGGGGAAUAUUGGACAAUGGGCGAAAGCCUGAUCCAGCCAUGCCGCGUGUGUGAAGAAGGCCUUUUGGUUGUAAAGCACUUUAAGCGAGGAGGAGGCUACCGAGAUUAAUACUCUUGGAUAGUGGACGUUACUCGCAGAAUAAGCACCGGCUAACUCUGUGCCAGCAGCCGCGGUAAUACAGAGGGUGCGAGCGUUAAUCGGAUUUACUGGGCGUAAAGCGUGCGUAGGCGGCUUUUUAAGUCGGAUGUGAAAUCCCUGAGCUUAACUUAGGAAUUGCAUUCGAUACUGGGAAGCUAGAGUAUGGGAGAGGAUGGUAGAAUUCCAGGUGUAGCGGUGAAAUGCGUAGAGAUCUGGAGGAAUACCGAUGGCGAAGGCAGCCAUCUGGCCUAAUACUGACGCUGAGGUACGAAAGCAUGGGGAGCAAACAGGAUUAGAUACCCUGGUAGUCCAUGCCGUAAACGAUGUCUACUAGCCGUUGGGGCCUUUGAGGCUUUAGUGGCGCAGCUAA
rnacentral:rRNA from 1 species